rnacentral:rRNA from 1 species
GACGAACGCUGGCGGCGUGCUUAACACAUGCAAGUCGAACGGAAAGGCCCCUUUGGGGGUACUCGAGUGGCGAACGGGUGAGUAACACGUGAGUAACCUGCCCUUGACUUCGGGAUAACUUCAGGAAACUGGGGCUAAUACCGGAUAGGAAUCCUUGCUGCAUGGUGGGGGUUGGAAAGCUUCGGCGGUUUUGGAUGGACUCGCGGCUUAUCAGCUUGUUGGUGGGGUAGUGGCUUACCAAGGCUUUGACGGGUAGCCGGCCUGAGAGGGCGACCGGCCACAUUGGGACUGGGAUACGGCCCAGACGCCUACGGGAGGCAGCAGUGGGGAAUAUUGCACAAUGGGCGGAAGCCUGAUGCAGCAACGCCGCGUGCGGGAUGACGGCCUUCGGGUUGUAAACCGCUUUCAGCAGGGGCGAAGCUUGUGGUGACGGUACCUGCAGAAGAAGCACCGGCUCGCUACGUG